rnacentral:rRNA from 1 species
CUGCGGAAGGAUCAUUACCGAGUGAGGGCCCUCUGGGUCCAACCUCCCACCCGUGUUUAUUUUACCUUGUUGCUUCGGCGGGCCCGCCUUAACUGGCCGCCGGGGGGCUUACGCCCCCGGGCCCGCGCCCGCCGAAGACACCCUCGAACUCUGUCUGAAGAUUGAAGUCUGAGUGAAAAUAUAAAUUAUUUAAAACUUUCAACAACGGAUCUCUUGGUUCCGGCAUCGAUGAAGAACGCAGCGAAAUGCGAUACGUAAUGUGAAUUGCAAAUUCAGUGAAUCAUCGAGUCUUUGAACGCACAUUGCGCCCCCUGGUAUUCCGGGGGGCAUGCCUGUCCGAGCGUCAUUGCUGCCCUCAAGCCCGGCUUGUGUGUUGGGCCCCGUCCCCCGAUCUCCGGGGGACGGGCCCGAAAGGCAGCGGCGGCACCGCGUCCGGUCCUCGAGCGUAUGGGGCUUUGUCACCCGCUCUGUAGGCCCGGCCGGCGCUUGCCGAUCAACCCAAAUUUUUAUCCAGGUUGACCUCGGAUCAGGUAGGGAUACCCGCUGAACUUAAGCAUAUCAAUAAG